CCCACAGCCGCCUCUGGACCCUGGUGAGAACAGGCUUCUCCCUGUGACCGCCUCCUCAGCCAGCCGCCAGCUCCACCCCGGAGAAGCCUGCCUUGGGCCCUGACCUGGUCACCGGGUCUGAGCGAGUGGGCACCUGCUGGACUCGGAGCCUGAGGCUGAGACUUCGGAUCUGACCCUGGAGCUUGGCGUGCAGAGGGACCGUCACGAGCCUGUCGUGAUCAAGUGUGUUUGCAGAGCUGAGACUCAUCGAGAAGGGUUUGCUGUGAGUCGGUCAUGUCGACUGCAGCGCCCAGCCUCGGGGUCUGGUUAAGAACCUGUGGAGUGAAGUUUGAGGAAUAAAGCAUCGACGAGGGCAGAAGCGCGGGGACAUUCUUCUCUCCUCCCUCGACUGCAGACGUGGCACCUUCUGCCAUCGCCACAGCCCCGUACUGACCGGGAAACAGGCCCAGGUUCCCCGGUGGACACGGGCGCAGGCAGCCAGUUCAAACUGCCAGAGGGAGGUCACAGAAUGUGGAGUCAGCGAAAAGGUGCUCGGGAUGUAUUUUGGCCACGACACACGAGAGUCCCAGACGACACAGAGGACAGAGGACAGUCAGAGGUGGAAAGUAACCAGGAGAACACACGUUGAAGUAAGGAUCAAGGUCUAGUAACCAGGCCAAGCAGCAAGUCGUCCACUGUCAAGUGCCAUGUGGUGCCUUCUCUACGAUGGGCACUCAGACCCUUGCUGGCACCAGCGUCACCACAAACAUGCUAGAGUGAGCCAUGUGCUGUCACGGCUGCGAGGGUGUCAUGUGCUGUGGCAUCACCAGACAUAGGAUCUCCAGCCCUGUCACAGUCUGGUGGGACCCUCACGGUACAGGCAGCCCUUCGCCGAGCCGCACCCCAGCCCUGCAGCCCGCCUUGGUCCAUGGUGCAUCACUGAACCAGAGGUUGCUCUUGGUUCUUGGUUGGCACCACCUGCCCUUGGCUGGCCUGGGAUGUCCUUGGAGGCUGGCAUCUCCCGAUGUCUCAGCAGGAGGGACCAAUGUUCCCCCACCCAAUCCACUCCAGCCCCUGCGUGUGCUCGCCAUCUCCGGCCUACAUGCUUAGGGACAAGUCUUGUCCGUCCUGGCCUGCCCACACCUGUCCUGGGGCUAGGUGCUACCUGGAUGGCCGAUGGUCAGCCCCAAUCCUGUGCCUGGGGCACCGGGCAUCCAGAGGGCCCACCCUGGCUGGGGAGCAAGGGCUGCUCCUCAGCGGGAGCUGGGUCAGCGAAGGAGGGAGCCGAGGGGUGUCAUGGCCACGGGCAAGGUGGUAACGAGGUGGACAGGAGCUCCAGGAACCAGGCUGAGGUCAGGGCCGUUAGAGCCACUUCUGGACAGCCAGGAGUUUGCACUUGGUCUCGUGGGUGGCAGGACACAGGGAGCUCACAGGAUUGGGGCUGGUGGGUGGGUGGUCAGCACUGAGGGAGGGCAGCUGGUAGCUGGGGAGUCCUCACUACAGGGAGCUGGGACAAGACUUGUGAGUGGCACAGGGAACAGGACAAGAGGACACCAGGAAGCUCCCGGCCAACUCUAGUGUCUGCUGAAGGAGAAGCGCCACCCUGAGGCCCACAGGAGAGGGGCCUGGUCAAGGGGAUCUGCCCACGGAGGGGUGUGGGGGAGCAGCCUGGGAGGACUGACCGCUGGCCAGAUUCAGAUUCCCCGAAGGGCCCCCGCAGGCUGCACAGAGUGCAAGGUCCAGGCCAAGUGGGAGGCUGGGCAGGGGCCCUGAGCGGUGGGAGGGUGAAGGUGGUGACACCCAGGCACAGCAGAGAGGGUUCUUCGAGGGGACCGCGAGGGGACGGCUGC